rfam:Flavobacterium segetis strain DSM 19741 genome assembly, contig: Ga0131139_103
UCUUAGCCGUGAUGGAAGUGAAAAGCCUUUUUUUAUAAAACUGUAUUUUUUCUUGUACAAAAAGAGCGACUGCAAGAAGCUCCUUUUUGUGCUUAGAAAAAAACAGUUUUAGGAAAAAGCUUGAAACGUACAGCGCGAUUAGCU